rnacentral:rRNA from 1 species
AUGGUGUCCCGCAACGACACUGGAUUGGAUAGCGUACUGCAUAGCUUGCAAUCUACCACUGAUCCUCAUAGGAAAAUAGAUCGCAGCUUCAUCAGCGGAGGCAAGCCGAUUAUCCAGGUGGUCCCGGCGUUCCUCCGCAGCAUCAAAAACGUGGAGCGGCUCUUCUCGCCGGACAUCAUCGCCAUCGGCCCAUACCACCGCGACGAGCCGCGUCUGCAAAGCAUGGAAGAGAUCAAGAAGAUGGCAGCCAACGAGUUCUGCUGCAGCUCCACCGCUCACCAGGUCCGGGAUUUCUAUCUCAAUGUUCAGGAGGUGGCCGAGCAAGCUCGGGAAUUUUAUGCCCACGACGUCGGCAUGAACGACAACGACUUCACGGCGAUGCUCUUCUUCGACGGCUGCUUCCUCCUGCAGUUCAUGACCAUGGUGGCGCUCGACCGUGGCCCGCAGAAACUCUGGAAGAUGCCGCAGCUGAGCGAGAACUGGAUGCAGCGCAUCUCGCGCGACAUCCUCCUGGUGGAGAACCAGAUCCCCUGGGUGGUGCUGGAGGCCCUGAUGCGCCUCAAGCACGUCCUCGUCGACCGCUACAUCGCCGACACCAUCAGCAACUUCGACGUGAAGGGAGCGAAGCCGCAGGUGGACUGCGAGGGAGCCGACAAGUACCAGCCGUUCCACCUCCUCGACCUUGUUCGGCACCGCCAGAUCGGCCCCUUCCGGAGCCGAAUGGUGGCCGUCGCCCACGAGGCCGAGGCCCCGCGGCCGAUCCUCAACAUCUCCUCGGCCCUGGAGCUCGCCGAGGUCGGCGUCCACAUCACCGCGGGGAAGACGGCCCGCCUCUCCGACAUGGCCGUGGGGAAGAAGAACCCCCUCUUCGGCAACCUCUGGCUCCCGCCCGUGUACCUCAGCGAGCUGACCAUGUCGCUGCUGAUCAACAUGGCGGCGUUCGAGAUGCUGCAGGGGGGCACGUCGGACGCGGACUACGGCGCGAGCUCGUACAUGCAGAUCAUGGCGGUGCUGAUGAACCGCGAGGACGACGUCCGGGAGCUGCGCGCCAAGCACAUACUGUACCCGGUGUUCAGUGAUCAGGAGACGCUCGGCUUCUUCAAGUCCGUCUGCCCGUACCUACGGAAGGGAGGACAGUAUGAUCGCGUCCUGCAGCGGCUCAGCAAUUACCAGCAGGACCGCAUGGUGAGGAUCACCCUGCACAAGUUCGUUUACAACAACCUCAAGUACCUCCUCACUUCUGGGUCGGCCUUUGGCUUGCUCAUACCCAUCCUCAGGGCCGUCCUCUCCCUCAAGGACGCCAACCGGAGCGCUCCGGGUGCUCCACCGCGCGCACUCUGA